rfam:Schistosoma haematobium scaffold573_25, whole genome shotgun sequence.
AUCCAACUGACGAGUCCAAAAUAGGACGAAAUGCGGAUUAUAGAU